rnacentral:rRNA from 1 species
GUGAGGAAUAUUGCGCAAUGGAGGCAACUCUGACGCAGCCAUGCCGCGUGCAGGAAGAAGGCGCUACGCGUUGUAAACUGCUUUUAACCGGGAAGAAACCCCAGGACGUGUCCUGGGUUGACGGUACCGGAGGAAUAAGCACCGGCUAACUUCGUGCCAGCAGCCGCGGGAAUACGAAGGGUGCAAGCGUUAUCCGGAUUCAUUGGGUUUAAAGGGUGCGUAGGCGGAGCGUUAAGUCAGUGGUGAAAUCCUGCAGCUUAACUGUAGACUUGCCAUUGAUACUGGCGCUCUUGAGUGCGGUUGAAGUGGGGGGAAUGUGCCGUGUAGCGGUGAAAUGCUUAGAUAGGGCACAGAACACCAAUUGCGAAGGCAGCUCACUAAGGCGAUACUGACGCUGAGGCACGAAAGCGUGGGGAUCGAACAGGAUUAGAUACCCCGGUAGUCC